rnacentral:rRNA from 1 species
CACAUAAUGACUCUCGGCAACGGAUAUCUCGGCUCUCGCAUCGAUGAAGAACGUAGCGAAAUGCGAUACUUGGUGUGAAUUGCAGAAUCCCGUGAACCAUCGAGUCUUUGAACGCAAGUUGCGCCCGAUGCCAUUAGGCUGAGGGCACGUCUGCCUGGGUGUCACA